CAAAAAAGACAACUAAAAAGAUAAAACACCCAAAUUACAAUCUCUCUCCGGGAGACAACCCCAAAAUGACCUUCUUCCAUCCCUGCAACGCCCGUCUCGCCAAAAAAUGGAAAUAGAUUGAAAAUUCGCAAAGAAUUCAUUUCGACUUGAAGUGGCGAAAUUCCAAUAUCUAGUGCUAGCUUCAGACCCUCCUCCGCUGCUAAGGCUUCGACAACAUCCACCGAGAAUGCAUGAUCCAGAAUUUGGAAAACUUACUGAGGAGAAUGCCAGGAUUAGAGGAGAAAUGUCGGAGCGUUGUUGUGCCAGAGCAUGUCAAUGUUGGAGCAUCACUUGCUGCAGAAAUUCCUGGGCAGCAGUAAAACGCGGGAUUUUUACUUUUGUCCGUACAACGCGCGUUUUACUGAGUUUCGCCCUAAUUUUCGGGAGAGCUAUAAAAGCAACAAGAUGAGGUUGUCUCAUUAUCAAUCCCCAAGGGGGAAAAGAUCCCAAGAGAGGAAAAUAGUCCCAAAAUGUGCUGAAGACGAGGAAAGCUGCCCCCAUUUCGAGAAAAAGCCGACGGGAGGAGGCUAGAAUUGUUGGUUUCUCAGGAGGUUUCAGAGGAUUUUUCAAAGCUUUUCCACAAAAUGGGUUGUUUCUCUCUCUACCCAUUGUAUUUUCUUCAUUCCCCAUGAACUAAACCCCAUUUUUGGGAUCCUUUGAUGUAGCUUGUGAACAGAGGCUUUCUAGCUGUUUCUGCUGCUGUUAAAUAGAGUUGAUAUAAUAUUUUCAUCUUACUGAUC